rnacentral:rRNA from 1 species
CUAGCUACAGGCUUAACACAUGCAAGUCGAGGGGCAGCAUGGUCUUAGCUUGCUAAGGCCGAUGGCGACCGGCGCACGGGUGAGUAACACGUAUCCAACCUGCCGUCUACUCUUGGACAGCCUUCUGAAAGGAAGAUUAAUACAAGAUGGCAUCAUGAGUCCGCAUGUUCACAUGAUUAAAGGUAUUCCGGUAGACGAUGGGGAUGCGUUCCAUUAGAUAGUAGGCGGGGUAACGGCCCACCUAGUCUUCGAUGGAUAGGGGUUCUGAGAGGAAGGUCCCCCACAUUGGAACUGAGACACGGUCCAAACUCCUACGGGAGGCAGCAGUGAGGAAUAUUGGUCAAUGGGCGAGAGCCUGAACCAGCCAAGUAGCGUGAAGGAUGACUGCCCUAUGGGUUGUAAACUUCUUUUAUAAAGGAAUAAAGUCGGGUAUGGAUACCCGUUUGCAUGUACUUUAUGAAUAAGGAUCGGCUAACUCCGUGCCAGCAGCCGCGGUAAUACGGAGGAUCCGAGCGUUAUCCGGAUUUAUUGGGUUUAAAGGGAGCGUAGAUGGAUGUUUAAGUCAGUUGUGAAAGUUUGCGGCUCAACCGUAAAAUUGCAGUUGAUACUGGAUAUCUUGAGUGCAGUUGAGGCAGGCGGAAUUCGUGGUGUAGCGGUGAAAUGCUUAGAUAUCACGAAGAACUCCGAUUGCGAAGGCAGCCUGCUAAGCUGCAACUGACAUUGAGGCUCGAAAGUGUGGGUAUCAAACAGGAUUAGAUACCCUGGUAGUCCACACGGUAAACGAUGAAUACUCGCUGUUUGCGAUAUACUGCAAGCGGCCAAGCGAAAGCGUUAAGUAUUCCACCUGGGGAGUACGCCGGCAACGGUGAAACUCAAAGGAAUUGACGGGGGCCCGCACAAGCGGAGGAACAUGUGGUUUAAUUCGAUGAUACGCGAGGAACCUUACCCGGGCUUAAAUUGCAGAUGAAUUACGGUGAAAGCCGUAAGCCGCAAGGCAUCUGUGAAGGUGCUGCAUGGUUGUCGUCAGCUCGUGCCGUGAGGUGUCGGCUUAAGUGCCAUGACGAGCGCAACCCUUGUUGUCAGUUACUAACAGGUUCCGCUGAGGACUCUGACAAGACUGCCAUCGUAAGAUGUGAGGAAGGUGGGGAUGACGUCAAAUCAGCACGGCCCUUACGUCCGGGGCUACACACGUGUUACAAUGGGGGGUACAGAGGGCCGCUACCACGCGAGUGGAUGCCAAUCCCCAAAACCUCUCUCAGUUCGGACUGGAGUCUGCAACCCGACUCCACGAAGCUGGAUUCGCUAGUAAUCGCGCAUCAGCCACGGCGCGGUGAAUACGUUCCCGGGCCUUGUACACACCGCCCGUCAAGCCAUGGGAGCCGGGGGUACCUGAAGUGCGUAACCGCGAGGAGCGCCCUAGGGUAAAACUGGUGACUGGGGCUAAG